rnacentral:misc_RNA from 1 species
GAAAGGUUGCGCAUUGAAACAAAAGUCCGCUUUGGUUUAUUUAUUCCUUUUAAAACAAAACAAAUGAAAUUAUUCCAAAUCCCCUUUCAUAUUUUAUUUGUGCUUGUUCAAUAAUUUUACUAAUUUUCCUCUUAAAAAGAUUACAAAAUUCUACUUAAUUUUGUUUCUUCGAUAAUCCUCCGUUCUAGGCAAUUUUCUUUUUCUCUGGUUAUCGGGUGUUUGGUUCUUGGGUUUUUAUGGGUUUAUGAGUUUUUGAAGAAAUUAAUGUUGGGUUGAUGAAGGUCCGUCGAUUUCUACGCAUUUUCUGUGGUCAUUGGGCUUCUAAUCUCUUUCGCCCUUCAAAACACAUAAAAAGAAGCUCACCCUUUUGAAGAAGGGGUGGAUUAGUUAUCUGGGCAUUCAAGAAAUUGGUCAAUAAUGGGGCAUAGUUCGAAGAAGAAGAAGAAAGGUGGAGGAGGGACUGGGAGGAGGAGCAAAGGAAGGACACCAUUGAAGGACCAUGCUUCUAGUUCUGGUGAUGACAAUGAACUUCUUGCUGAGGAGAUCACUGCCUUGUGUGCGAUAUUUCAAGAAGACUGCAAGAUUGUUUCAGAGUCACCUCCUCAAAUACUUAUUAAGCUCAGGCCUUACUCAAAGGAUAUGGGCUAUGAGGAUCUAGAUGUUUCAGCUCUGCUUUCAGUCAGGUGCAUACCAGGAUAUCCUUACAAGUGCCCGAGGUUGCAAAUUACUCCUGAGAAGGGUUUGACAAAAAGUGAUGUGGAUAAUCUUCUUUCUCUCUUACAUGAACAGGCAAAUUCCAAUGCUCGGGAAGGACGGGUCAUGAUUUUCAAUCUGGUAGAGGCUGCUCAAGAGUUUUUGUCUGAAAUAGUUCCAGAAGGUCCAGUACCUGAAUCUGCUUUACUUUCAACCAUGGGUGGCAGUGGCCAGUUGUUUAAGAAGGACAUUGCUGUUUCAAGUAACAAGAAUUGCUCUUCAAGUGAACCAUUUGUUUAUGGUUUCAUAGACCUCUUUAGUGGCUCUGGAGAGUCAUGGCAUUGGGGUCUUGCAGUGGAUGACAGUAGGGCGGUGAAUUCGUCAAUAAAAUCUCAUUCAUUAGAUGGUUCAAAGGUUGGAUAUGAAGUACAGGAAAAGAUACUUGAUAAGGCCUCAAAGCCAUUGACAGUACAAGAUGCAAAGCAAAGUCCACUGCUUUUCCCUGUUGCCAAGUUAGGUAUCCUUGAAGAAGAGAGUGAAGAUGAGAAUAGGAGCGUAUCAACUGACUCAAGUACAUCUGUUAUGGAGGAAUCAGUGGGAAAUGAAUUGGAAGGCAAGAAAAAGUGCAUGCUUUCACAGGAUGUGUUUUCUGAGGAGCAAGGAACAGAAGAUGAUGAUGGCAAUUUUGAAAGUGAGCCUUGGGAUUUGCUUUCAUCGGCAUCCUUAGGUCAUGAUCAAGCUACCCAAACUAUUGAAAAGGAUCUAGUAAUGGUUCAUAUGCUUCGCCUUGCUUGUGCUUCAAAAGGAGGUUUGGCUGAUGCUAUAUCUCAAAUAACCAUGGAACUGUGUAAUUUAGGUGUACUUUCAGAGUGGGCACGAGAUAUAGCUUCUAAACCAUCUUCUGUCUUUAACAAGACCUUUGAUCAUGUUUUCCGUCAACAUGUGGUUUCAUCGAAAGUAUCUCAAUUUUGGAAGCCUACUUCUGAUUUAGGAGGGCCUAAUAUGUCUCUCCCAAACUCUCGAUAUCUGAGUGACUUUGAAGAGCUACAACCACUCGGUCAUGGUGGUUUUGGUCAUGUUGUAUUGUGCAAAAACAAGCUAGAUGGGAGACAAUAUGCGGUGAAGAAAAUUCGCCUCAAGGACAAAAGCUUGCCUAUUAAUGACCGAAUUUUGAGAGAAGUAGCAACACUUUCACGUUUGCAGCAUCAGCAUGUUGUACGCUAUUAUCAGGCAUGGUUUGAAACAGGAGUUGCUGGUUCUUUUGGUGACACUACUUGGGGUUCUACUACUGCCACAAGCCCUACGUUUAGUUACCGAGGUGCAACCUUAGGUGAUGUUGGGCAAGACAAUAAGCUUGAAUCAACAUAUUUGUAUAUUCAAAUGGAGUAUUGCCCCAGGACUCUACGCCAAGUUUUUGAAUCAUAUAACCAUUUUGACAAAGAGUUAGCAUGGCAUCUGUUUCGACAAAUUGUUGAAGGCUUGGCACACAUACAUGGACAGGGAAUCAUCCAUCGAGACUUAACUCCUAGCAAUAUCUUUUUUGAUGCUCGCAAUGAUAUUAAAAUUGGCGAUUUUGGUCUUGCCAAGUUCUUGAAGUUGGAGCAGCUGGACCACGAUACGACCUUACCUACAGAGGCGAGUGGAGUAUCAAUUGAUGGAACUGGUCAAGUUGGAACCUACUUUUAUACUGCGCCUGAAAUUGAGCAAGGAUGGCCAAAGAUCGAUGAAAAGGCUGACAUGUACAGCUUAGGAGUUGUGUUUUUUGAGCUUUGGCACCCUUUUGGCACAGCUAUGGAGAGACAUAUUAUUCUAUUUGAUUUGAAACAAAAGGGAGUGCUUCCUCCCUCCUGGGUUGUUCAAUUUCCAGAGCAAGCAUCCUUGUUGCAACGCUUAAUGUCUCCAAGUCCAUCUGAUCGUCCAUCUGCUACUGAUCUUUUAAAGCAUGCAUUUCCCCCAAGAAUGGAAUCAGAGUUGUUAGACAAUAUUCUAAGAACAAUGCAAACUUCUGAGGAUAGAACCGUGUAUGACAAAGUUGUCAGUUCUAUCUUUGAUGAAGAGAUGUUAAGCAUGAAAAGCCAGAAUCAGCUUUCUGGUCGAUUAGGGAUGGGUGGAGGUGAUACUUCCUCUAUUCAGUAUGCAGAUUUAGACACUGAGCUUCGUGAUUAUGUUGUUGAGGCCACAAGGGAAGUGUUCAAACAGCAUUGUGCAAAGCAUUUGGAAAUAAUACCUAUGCGCUUAUUGGAUGAUUGUCUACAGUUUUCUAGGAACACUGUCAAACUUUUGACCCAUGGAGGAGAUUUGCUUGAACUUUGUCAUGAGUUGCGUCUGCCUUUUGUUAGUUGGCUUAUUGCAAACCAGAAAUCUUCUUUCAAACGGUAUGAAAUGUCACCUGUUUAUAGGACAGCAAUUGGUCAUUCACCACCAAAUCGCUAUCUACAGGGUGAUUUUGACAUUGUUGGAGGUGUGUCUGCACUGAUGGAAGCGGAGGUUAUCAAGGCAACAAUGGACAUUGUAACCCGCUUCUUUGUCUCAGAUUCCUGUGAUAUCCAUCUAAAUCAUGGGGACCUACUAAAUGCUAUUUGGACUUGGAUUGGACUUAAGCCAGAGCAUAGACAGAAAGUAGCAGAGCUUCUGUCAUUGAUGGGUUCUUUGCGUCCUCAAUCCUCAGAAAGGAAGUUGAAAUGGGGAGUAAUUAGGCGUCAACUUUUGCAGGAACUAAAUUUGGCUGAAGCUGUUGUGAAUAGGUUGCAGACUGUUGGUUUGAGGUUCUGUGGAGCUGCAGACCAGGCCCUUCCUCGAUUAAGGGGAGCCCUCCCAGCUGAUAAACCCACGCGGAAGGCGCUUGAUGAGUUGUCAGAUCUGAUUAUCUAUUUGAGAGUUUGGAAGAUAGAAGACCAUGUUUAUAUAAAUGUGCUAAUGCCACCAACUGAGAAUUAUCACAGAGAUUUGUUUUUUCAGAUAUAUCUAAUGGAGAACAAUCCUGGAUCACUUAGUGAAGGCACAUUGCUUGCUGUAGGAGGCCGCUAUGACUAUUUACUUCAUCAAAUGUGGGAUCAUGAAUACAGAACAAAUCCUCCUGGUGCUGUUGGUACUAGUCUUGCGUUAGAGACAAUAAUUCAGCACUCACCUGUUGAUUUCAGACCUGUUAGAAAUGAAGCUAGCACCAAUAUUCUUGUUUGUUCAAGAGGAGGAGGUGGUUUAUUGGUUGAGAGGAUGGAACUAGUUGCUGAACUAUGGGAAGCAAACAUCAAGGCUGAAUUUGUCCCUAUGCCUGAUCCAAGCCUUACAGAGCAGUAUGAAUAUGCAAGUGAACAUGAUAUAAGAUGCCUCGUCAUCAUAACAGAUACAGGUCUUUCACAAAAAGGUUUUGUAAAGGUUCGUCAUCUUGAACUUAAGAAAGAGAAGGAAGUUGAAAGAGAAAAGCUUGUUAGUUUUCUGUUGAAUGCAAUGGCAACACAAUUCAGAAAUCCCUCAGUUUGGAUUUAAGCUUGUGUUCCUCAAAAGCAAUUGCUUCCUCAGGUUCUUCUUAGCCCUUUCGUGAUCCAUCGCCAAAUGUUAAGCUGAAGCUUCUGUUCCAGUGUCUCAAGAGGGAACAUAUAGUUAAUCAAAGGAAUUAUAACAUUUUCUUUUUUCUAACAGCUCAUGCAUACCAGUCAAUGCCCUGAUCUCCAUCCUCCCAAGCCUGAGAAAAAGGAAACUAGCUGAGAGAGAUUUUGCAGCUUAACAUUUUUUGUUUUUUUGGUGAAUUUUUUUUUCUCUAUAAAACAAUGAUGUAAAUAUGUAAAUAUACGGGAUUUUUGUAUAGUUUAUCAAUGAGAAAAGAGGAUAAAAAGUUGCAUAAA